rnacentral:tRNA from 1 species
UUAAUUGAAACCAAAAUAGAGGUAUAUCACUGUUAAUGAUAAUAAUGGGAUUUUCUCCAAUUAAG